UCUUGUUAAACAUCUAACAAAAGUCCUAUUUAAAUGAAAAGGACAAUAGAAUCUUUAAAGUCAGUGCAGAGUUUAAUUAAAACCUGAAACAGAAUCCAUGCCUUUAUGCAUUAAAAAAAAAAGCAAAAAACAGAUUUCAAAGCUGUUAAACUACAUGUAAUUGGCAUAAACUCUCCAUUGAGCCAAAGUUAAAAAAAAAAAACAGGCUAUCAUAUGGAAAUUGGAGUCUAUUAAUAAAUAGCAAACCUGAUACAUGUGCGUAGCACCAUAUUUUGCAUGCAUUUUUUAAUUUGCCUAAUUUGCUAGGCGUAUCUUAGAGCAAACAUGAGACAUGCUAGCUGUUAAGUUGAACAAAUCCAAAAGGGACAAAAAAAAACCUGACUGAAAUCAAUGCAUUAACAUGCACCAGCAUUUAAAAACAUUUCAUAACGUUCCCAAAGAGAGCAUGUAAACUGCAGCAGUCUCAGUGCAAAACUACUGUAGUCCGUGCUCCCAUGUAGUCAUUACUCAUACAUGGGAGUAUACAGUUCCUACAGCCAUUUUUCAUGCAUGGAUAGCUGAAAACCAAAAAUCACUGACAUAACUGCGCAAGGGGGACCUCCCUUUUGAAAGUUAACAUCUUAUGAAUUCUGAAAGGGAAUGUGAAGAUAGACACCAGUCCACAUGCUGACCCAGCUCUCCUGUAGGGAAGGGUCUGUGUGCAGCCCCCCCCCCACAACCGCAGGGGCACCCAAGCCUUCCCCAGGCUGAGUCACCAUGGGCCACCCGCCCCCAGCUGCAGAGCCAAACCCAGCAAGGUCAGGACAGGACAGAGCAGAGCAAAGCAGUCUCACCACUGCUCCCUUCCCCCCACCGGCAUCCAACUGGGGCUGCACACGUAGAGAUAGGAGGUCAGCCCAAGAGCUUCUUUGGGCAUGCAGUUUCCUUUUCAGGAGAUAGUAAAUUCUGAGACCCCCCCAAAAAAGUCACAUAACCUAUUUCUGCAUUAAAGAAAAGGCACUUUUCCUUUUUGCCUUUUCCACACGAUAAAGGACGAUCAGCUGGCUGGGUGCAGGCAGGCACACAGAUGGGCUCUGCGCAGGGAGGAAACACACACAAAGACGGCUCUGUGCAGCAGCACCGACUAGUGCAGCAGCUGGGAAGAAGGUGACAAAAUGGUGGCCCUCGCCUCCUGGCUGGCUCGGCUUGCACCCGAUCGUAUCAAGCCACUCCAAGAGGCAUUCAGACUCGUGACAAUUCACUGCGGCCAAUCAAUCUCUCCGAGUGGACAACCUACGGCUUCUGGCAACGGCAUUCAGAAGGUCAUCAAAUAUUCCAAGAAAGGGCUCAACAUCAUUGAUUUCAUCAUCAAGAAGAUAUCUACUGAAGAUUAAACAAAUUAAAAAAUUAAAUUAGGUAUAAUACAUCAAAACCUAUGAGAUCAGGAACACUGUACAAAGUAUAGCCAAGAGACACCAUGACAAACAAAAUAAUUUUAAAGUGUUUUCCUUUCUAAGAAAAGUUAAUUGAUACUAUUUUUGUGAAAAUUGGUCUUCUAAAAUUAAUAUUAUAAAUUAACACAUCACUUAAAGAUCUGUGUUCCAUGAAGGACUAAGCACUAAAACACUGAGGCAACAGGAAAACAUACAUAACUUUUUAUUACCUUGGAU